rnacentral:misc_RNA from 1 species
GACGAACCGUGCGAACGUUAUUCGGAAUCAUUGGGCUUAAAGAGCGCGUAGGCGGCGUCGUAAGUUGGAGGUGAAAUCCCACGGCUCAACCGUGGAACUGCCCCCAAUACUGCGAUGCUUGAGGGAGGUAGGGGCCUGUGGAACUUCCGGUGGAGCGGUGAAAUGUGUUGAGAUCGGAAGGAACGCCAGCGGCGAAAGCGGCAGGCUGGAUCUCUUCUGACGCUGAGGCGCGAAAGCUAGGGUAGCGAACGGG